rnacentral:rRNA from 1 species
UACGUAGGGUGCGAGCGUUAAUCGGAAUUACUGGGCGUAAAGUGUGCGCAGGCGGCCGAGCAAGUCGAGUGUGAAAGCCCCGAGCUUAACUUGGGAACUGCGCUCGAAACUACUUGGCUAGAGUGUGGCGGAGGGAGGUGGAAUUCCACGUGUAGCGGUGAAAUGCGUAGAGAUGUGGAGGAACACCGAUGGCGAAGGCAGCCUCCUGGGCCAACACUGACGCUCAUGCACGAAAGCGUGGGGAGCAAACAGG